rnacentral:sRNA from 1 species
GCAAGCGGCGAUGGCGGCGGCGGCGGGAGCUGCAGCGGCGGCGGCCGCCGAGGGGGAGGCCCCCGCUGAGAUGGGGGCGCUGCUGCUGGAGAAGGAAACCAGAGGAGCCACCGAGAGAGUUCAUGGCUCUUUGGGGGACACCCCUCGUAGUGAAGAGACCCUGCCCAAGGCCACCCCCGACUCCCUGGAGCCCGCUGGCCCCUCAUCUCCAGCCUCUGUCACUGUCACUGUUGGCGAUGAGGGGGCUGACACCCCUGUAGGGGCUACACCACUCAUUGAGGAUGAAUCCGAGAAUCUUGAGGGAGAUGGGGACCUCCAUGGGGGCCGGAUCCUGCUGGGCCAUGCCACAAAGUCAUUCCCCUCUUCCCCCAGCAAGGGGGGUUCCUGUCCUAGCCGGGCCAAGAUGUCAAUGACAGGGGCGGGAAAAUCACCUCCAUCUGUCCAGAGUUUGGCUAUGAGGCUACUGAGUAUGCCGGGAGCCCAGGGAGCUGCAGCAGCAGGGCCUGAACCCCCUCCAGCCACCGCUAGCCCAGAGGGACAGCCCAAGGUCCACCGAGCCCGCAAAACCAUGUCCAAACCAGGGAAUGGACAGGUGAGUAGGAUGGGAGAGAUGGGAUAAUCAACUAUAAACCUUUGGUGAGCUCUUUUACAGUUUCACUUAAGGCUUCUACUCUAUUUACUCAUUCACAUAUUUAAGCAAGGGGCUACUAUGUGUCAAAUAUUAGGCUGUGCUUGAUCUGUGAACCAACAGACAGGUUCCUCUCUUCCUGCAGUUUACAUUCUUGGGUGGUGAAAGUUUCAUGUUAAAGAGUCAAUUAUAUAGUUAAUGUCUUAAUUACUCUUAUGAUAAUGACAAGGUAAGGGAAUUUCAAACCACUCUUCCUUUCUACCUCAAAGCAAGCCCUUGGGGAACUCAGCUGUCACUGCUCUAUUUGUAAAGUUUUUCCUGGGAAUCCCAGUGGGAAAGGAGAUGAGGGCCACAGAAAUAAUAGAGGAGGGAAGUGACAAGGGCCCCAGAAGCUUUAUGACCAAGUUCUAGGGUUCUUGGGUCAUACCUAUUGUUGACCUAAAGGAAAAAACUGAGGCAAACUUAACAUUAAGUAGAGUGUAUUUGGGCAGGUUUUGAGGACAGCCUUCAGGAGCAAAGAUUCAAGUUGCCCUGAAAAUACACUCUGAUUAGCAGCAGUUACAGGUAGGGGUUUUUUUGUUUGUUUUGUUUUGUUUUUGAAGACAGUUUCACUAUGUUGCUCAGGCUGGUCUCAAACUGCUGGGCUUCAGCAAUCUUCCUGCCUUGACCUCGCAAAGUGCUGGGAUUACAGGUGCAAGCCACCACAACCAGCCCACAAGUAGGUUUUUAAAGGAAAAGAAGAUUGGAUGACAUGAAGAUAUUGAAAAAAAACAGGCUGACUCUGGGCACACUGCUUAGGAGUUAGCCCUGCUCUGGAAGGAGCCAC